UCCUUUAAUAUCCAUUAUACAUUUAAAUUUUUUUUAAAAAACUUGUAUGUCUUUUCUCUACCUCUUUUGCUUCUUCUUCUUCUUUCAACUCCAAACGCCUUCACUUCCAUGACCUUCAUGUUCGUGCUUCUGCAAAACCUACUGCUUCUGCUGACUCUGGCAAUGGCAAUGGAGCCAUACUAGCUCCAGGGAAGAACCCAGAUGUUACUCCUUAUGCCUUAUGAAAGACAGUAUUUCUCUCUAGUUGCCGUUGUUGGUCAAGAUGCGGUUAAAACUAUUCUAUUGCUCAGGGCUAUUGACCUUGAAAUUGGAGGGAUUGCUAUCUCUGGAAGGUGAGGAACAACAAAGAGAGUGAUGGCUCGUGGUUUACAUGCAAUUUUGCCACCCAUUGAUGUGGUUGUCGAUUCAAUUUCAAAUGCAGAUCCAGCAUAUCCUGAGGGGUAAGGAUACUGAGUUCUUGCUGGUUAUUUUGUAAUAUCAGCAAUUGAUAUAAUGCUAUUUAUGAAUGACCAUAAAAUGACUGUGUCAUGAGUUAUCUAUUUUCUGGUCUCAUGCCAAAGUGAGUAGAGCAGGUUUUGCAUCAUCUUUCUUGUAUGACAAGCUUAAGAAACUCUUUCUUGGGAAGUCAUAUGUUUGAUCCUCAAUUUUAAACUUUGGCAUCGCCUUUUAAUUUGCUUUUAGUUUACUAGUUAUUUUGUAAUAUCAGCAAUUGAUGUAAUGCUUUUAAAAAUUUGGACAAAUAUAAAUUACCGAUAAAAACCGUCGGUAAUUUUUCCAGCAAAUACAUUGAGAUCCAUAUUGGUGGAAACACAUAUUAUCGAAGUUGUCGGAUUGAAUUGUGUUGAUUCACUUUGAAAAAUUAGACAAACGUAAAUUACCGACGGACCAUCGGUAAUUACCAAUGAAACCGUUAAUAAUUUUUCCAGCAACUACAUGAGCUUGCUGCAAAAAUUACCAACGGUUUUCAUCGGUAAUUACCAAUGGGCCAUCGGUACUCAAUUUUCUUUUUUUUGUAAUUUUCACACUUUUUCCAAAUAUUAUGUGGAUUCUUUUAUUCAGGAUCAUUAAUAAAGUUAUAUUUAGUAUGGUAUUGGUGUAAACACACAUCAUCUAAGUUGUCGGAUUGAAUUAUACUGAUUUGUUUUAAAAAAUUAGACAAACGUAAAUUACCGACGGACCAUCGGUAAUUACCGAUGAAAUCAUUGGUAAUUUUUCUAGCAACUACAUGGGCUUGUUGAAAAAAUUACCGAUGGUUUUUAUCGGUAAUUACCCAAUGAGCCAUCGAUAAUCAAAUUUUUUUUGCUAAUUUUCACACUUUUUCCAAACAUUCUAUAGAUUCUUUUGUUCAGAAUCAUUAAUAAAGUUAUAUUUAGUACGAUAUUCGUGAAAACACACAUCAUCUAAGUUGUUGGAUUGAAUUGUAUUAAUUUAUUUUAAAAAUUAGAAAAAAGUAAAUUAUAGACGGACCAUCGGUAAUUUUUCCAGUAACUACAUGGGCUUGCUGAAAAAAUUACUGACAAUUUUCAUCGGUAAUCAAUUUUUUUUAUAAUUUUUGUACUUUUUCCAAACAUUCUGCGAAUUCUUUUGUUCAGGAUCAUUAAUAAAGUUAUAAUUAAUAUGGUAUUGGUGGAAAUACACAUUAUCUAAGUUGUCGGGUUGAGUUGUAUUGAUUUAUUUUUAAAAAAUUGGACAAACGUAAAUUAUUGAUAGAUCAUCGGUAAUUACUGAUGAAACCGUUGGUAAUCAAUUUUUUUGCAAUUUUUGCACUUAUUCCAAUCAUUCUAUGCAUUCUUUUGUUCAAGAUUAUUAAUAAAGUUAGAUUUCACAUGUUCUUGAUGGAAAUAUAUAUUAUCAAAGUUGUCGGAUUGAAUUGUGAUGAUUUGCUUUAAAAAAUUGGACAAACAUAAAUUACCGACAGACCAUCGGUAAUUACCUAUUAAAACCGUUAGUAAUCAAAUUUUUUUUUUAUUUAUAAUUUUUGCACUUUUUCCAAACAUUCUGUGGAUUUUUUUAUUCAAGAUCAUUAAUGAAGUUAUAUUUAGUAUGGUAUUGGUGGAAAUACACAUUAUCUAAGUUGUCAGAUUGAAUUGUAUUGAUUUGUUUUAAAAAAUUGGACAAGCCUAAAUUACCGACGAACCAUUGGUAAUUACCGAUGAAACCGUCGGUAAUUUUUCCAGCAACUACAUGGGCUUGCUGAAAAAAUUACUGAUGGAUUUCAUCGGUAAUUACCGAUGGGCCAUCGGUAAUCAAUUUUUUUUGUAAGUUUAUCACUUUUUCCAAACAUUCUGUGGAUUCUUUUAUUCAGGAUCAUUAAUAAAGUUAUAUUUAGUAUGAUAUUGGUGGAAACAUACAUUAUCUAAGUUGUCGGAUUAAAUUGUAUUGAUUUGCUUUAAAAAAUUGGACAAACGUAAAUUACUGAUGGACCAUCGGUAAUUACCAAUGAAACCAUCGGUAAUCAAUUUUUUUGUACUUUCGCACUUUUUCCAAUCAUUCUAUAGAUUCUUUUGUUCACAAUCAUUAAUAAAGUUAAAUUUUCCAUAUUCUUGGUGGAAACACACAUUAUCGAAGUUGUUGAAUUGAAUUGUGAUGAUUUGCUAUGAAAAAUUGGACAAACUCAAAUUACUAACGGACCAUCAAUAAUGACCUAUGAAAACCGCUGGUAAUCAAUUUGUUUUUGUAAUUUGCGCACUUUUUCCAAUCAUUCUAUGGAUUCUUUUGUUCAUGAUUAUUAAUAAAGUUAGAUUUCGCAUGUUCUUGGUGGAAACACACAUUAUCGAACUUGUUAGAUUGAAUUGUGAUGAUUUGCUUUAAAAAAAUGGACAAGUUGAAAUUACCAAUAAUGCAUUGGUAAUUACUGAUAGAAACCAUCGGUAAUUUUUCCAGCAAGCACAUGGACUCCUACAUUUAUCCAAUUUUUUCAAAGCAAAUCACCACAAUUCAAUCCAACAAUUUCGAUAAUGUGUGUUUCGACCAAGAACUUACUAAAUAUAACUUUAUUUAUACUCCCGUACAAAAGAGUUCACAAAGGGUUUGGAAAAAAUGAUAAAAUUACAAACAAAGUUGAUUACUGAUGCCCUAUCGGUAAUCCAAUAUAGAUCUCCAUGUGCUUGCUGGAAAAAUUACCGAUGGUUUUUAUCAGUAAUUACCGAUGGACCGUCGGUAAUUUACGUUUGUCCAAUUUUUUCAAAACAAAUCACUACAAUUUAAUCCGACAACUUCGAUAAUGUGUGUUUCCAACAAGAACAUGCUAAAUAUAACUUUAGUAAUGAUCAUGAAUAAAAGAAUCCACAUAAGGUUUGGAAAAAAGUGAGAAAAUUACAGACAAAGUUGAUUAUCAAUGGAACAUCGGUAAUUACCGAUGAAUACUGUCGGUAAUUUUUCCAGCAAAUAUAUGGAGACCUAUAUUGGAUUACCAACGGUUUUCAUUGGUAAUUAACUUUGUUUGUAAUUUUUUCACUUUUUUCAAACCUUUUGUAAACUUUUUUAUUCACCAUCAUUCAUAAAGUUUUCCAGCAAAGUUGAUAAUCUUGUAAGGUUGCAAAAAAAAGGGGUGGAUUAUUAAUGGUUUCCAUCGGUAAUACCGAUGGCAUGGUAAUACCGAUGGCAUGUUAGUAAUCUUGUUCAUUUCUAAUUUUUGAAUAUUUUUUUAUCUUUCUUUUUUUUUUUUUUGUGUUUUCUUUUGUUUACCAUAAUUCUCAUCAUAAAAUUAAGUUGCAUUGAGCACAAAUCUUGGUGUAAAUAAACGUUAUCAAAGUGAUUGUACUGAAUUGUGAUUAUUUGAACUGGAAAAUUUGACAAUGAUUACCAACGGCCUCCAUCAUUAAUAUUUUUGCUUUUUUUUCCUUUUUUUUUUUGGGUGUUUUUUUCUUUAUCAUGAUUUUUUCAUUAAAGAGGGUUGAAAUGAACAUGUUCAAUGGUGCAAGUACAUGUUAUGAAAGUAGUUAUUUGGAGUUGUCAGUAUUAGUUUUAAAGUAUGUAAAAUUACCGAAUGUCCAUUGGUAAUACUGAAUGGUUCCAGCAAUAGGUAGUUUGAUAAAAAAAAAAAUAGUUUUAGUUCUUCGUUUUAGCAUUUUAACAAAUUAAACCCACUUGGCAUGUUUACAAGUUAGGUUCUGCUCAGCAUAAGGUCAAAAUGUAGUUAUUUUUACCUACUCACCAGAAAAGAAGGCAUCUGCAUAGGACCCCAGAAGCAAAGCACUGACACUCAAGGAUGUUUUUGGAUUCAAAGCGUGUUGCGUGGAGAUUAAUAAACAAAAUAACCGAAGCAGAUCAGAGUGCAUAAGAAUAAUACAGAAAACAUAUUAAAGUGAGCUUCCAUUAUUUGCUUAUAAUGUAUAGAAUAUUAUACAAUAACAUCAUUGAAAAGGAACAAAUACUACUUGGACAUGAAUCAUAACUACACUAGUGCUCAUUAUUUUACUAAGAGUGGUAACAACUCAUCGUUAAGGCACAGCAAAAAAGAUGUAGGAUCAUUAGCAAAACUUCAUCUUUGCAAAAUUAUAAACAUAUAUACAAGCAGGAAAGCUGGCUUUCCAUAAAAUUAUUGCUCUUCACUAACUUCAAAAGAAUGAUCUAGCUACCAGAUAUGAGCUGUUCAGGAUGUUAAACAUUCCAACAUAUUGGAUUGCUGCUGGCAUGCAAUCACGUUAAAUAGAAAUUUCAAACUUUUCCAUGUCUGUGUUGCUGCCUUAUUCUACACCUCUCACAUCAUCGUCAGGUACCU